UUUUGGGUGAUUGGGUAAUAAUGGGUUAUGGUGGGUUGUUGUUUUUUUUAAAAAUAAAUUAUGGAUUACGUAAUAAAUUUAAAUUUUUAAUGUUAGUGAUGUUUUUUUUUUGUAUUAUGUUGUUGAUAAUAUAAGUAACGAAUUGCUUAUAUUUCUAAAUAUAGUUGUAUGUUUCUUGUAUAUAAAUAAAAAUAAAGCAUGCCACGACGUGAAGAGUUCCCGACUAAAGGAUUGAAG
rnacentral:lncRNA from 1 species